rnacentral:rRNA from 1 species
AGAGUUUGAUCCUGGCUCAGGACGAACGCUGGCGGCGUGCUUAACACAUGCAAGUCGAACGGUGACGAUCAAGCUUGCUUGGUCUGAUCAGUGGCGAACGGGUGAGUAACACGUGAGUAACCUGCCCCAGACUCUGGGAUAACCCCGGGAAACCGGAGCUAAUACCGGAUAUGACACCAACGGGCAUUCGUAUGGUGUGGAAAGUUUUUCGGUCUGGGAUGGACUCGCGGCCUAUCAGCUUGUUGGUGAGGUAGUGGCUCACCAAGGCGACGACGGGUAGCCGGCCUGAGAGGGCGACCGGCCACACUGGGACUGAGACACGGCCCAGACUCCUACGGGAGGCAGCAGUGGGGAAUAUUGCACAAUGGGCGAAAGCCUGAUGCAGCGACGCCGCGUGAGGGAUGACGGCCUUCGGGUUGUAAACCUCUUUCAGCAGGGAAGAAGCGCAAGUGACGGUACCUGCAGAAGAAGCACCGGCUAACUACGUGCCAGCAGCCGCGGUA